GAGUUUGAUCAUGGCUCAGAUUGAACGCUGGCGGCAUGCCUUACACAUGCAAGUCGAGCGGAUGACGGGAGCUUGCUCCUUGAUUCAGCGGCGGACGGGUGAGUAAUGCCUAGGAAUCUGCCUGGUAGUGGGGGACAACGUUUCGAAAGGAACGCUAAUACCGCAUACGUCCUACGGGAGAAAGCAGGGGACCUUCGGGCCUUGCGCUAUCAGAUGAGCCUAGGUCGGAUUAGCUAGUUGGUGGGGUAAUGGCUCACCAAGGCGACGAUCCGUAACUGGUCUGAGAGGAUGAUCAGUCACACUGGAACUGAGACACGGCCCAGACUCCUACGGGAGGCAGCAGUGGGGGAAUAUUGGACAAUGGGCGAAAGCCUGAUCCAGCCAUGCCGCGUGUGUGAAGAAGGUCUUCGGAUUGUAAAGCACUUUAAGUUGGGUAGGAAGGGCAGUAAGUUAAUACCUUGCUGUUUUGACGUUACCGACAGAAUAAGCACCGGCUAACUCUGUGCCAG
rnacentral:rRNA from 1 species